UAUCUAACAAGGGGAUCUGAGGACUGCUUGCGUGUUUUGAACUGGCCACUGAACCUACGCCUGCUGGCCAAUCUAUCCCCUCUUCCUCUUUACCCUCUCACAUAGUCCACGUGUUUUACUUACGUCCUACAGUGAUUUUCAUUUCCUCGAGGUUUCAUCGGUCAGUUAAUAGUUAAAAAUACUGGCACGAAAGGUGAAAAGUGGAAAAUCAAUGAACGACGAAAGCCUGGAUUUAACUAUAGUUCUACAAUAUUUAAUUAUUGAAGAAUGUAACAAUCACUGGAUAAUCAAGAUGUUGAUCUUUCACUUCUGUAAAUACAUGAGAUUUAUAAUUCAUGAGAUGAGCAAGAAAGCUGACCAAUUUUCAGGGAAACCCUUUCUGUUGGUUUUUUUAAUUUUAAAUUACACGUAUAGCAUGAAUAUUUGACAACAAUACUAGAUAAUUACAACAUAUGAAUAUUUAACUUUUGGAGUGCAUGUUUGGUUGGUUUCACCCCAUCAGAUAAUCAAGAUUUAAAGAUAACUGGUAAAUUCCACCCCAUACUUAGAGGAAAAAAGUUCUAUCAUUUUCACAGAAUUUUCAAUUAAUGAAUUUCAUGAACUUCAUGAAUUAAUAAACCUCAAGAUAAUCUGCCAGUUUUAAGUAAAAAUUUAUUUUAAUUCAAGAAAUCAAUUUUAAUCUUUUUUUUUGUUCUUUUUCUUGGUAUUGAAUAAUUUAUAAUUGAAGGAUAAAGAAAAAAAUAGCUUUGAAUAGCAUAAUGCACCAUAAAGAAGUGCUUUUUCCUCAACAUUGGCACCUUUCUGCUCAUCAAAAAAUAUAAUUGAAAAUACAAUUUUCAAUUUAAGUCUGGCAUACAUCUUUAUUCUUGUAAAAAAUAUCACUGUUAGUCUAAUCUUGACGGGAAAAAUUCCAUUGAUGAAGAAUUUCUCAUCCAUUUAUUCCCCUAAUCUCGUCGUAUGGAGUGUCAUUGAGGGAAGAAAAAGAAAUCGAAUUUGGUAUAUGAUAGAUAUGAUAGAUCGGGGGUCAAAGCUUGACAACAUUUCGUUCUAAGGGGUUGGCCUAACCUUGGAACGUAUGUGAAAGCUUCUAUAGAGAACAAGAGAAGAGAAGAACGGAGAUGGAUGCAAGGGCGAGAAAAGAUGGGAAUAUUGGCCAAUCCUAAGCGGUUACCAAGUCAAACUUUAUUAUUGUUUCAUGCUCCGCCCUAUAUUUUUUUUUCUGUGAUGUUUAACGAAAAUUAUUGAAACUAGUUAUUUCUAUUACUCAACAUAUAGAACAAAGAUAUUAGA